rnacentral:lncRNA from 1 species
GCUGAAGGACGCCUCCUGGUGCGGGAGUUUCUUGCUGCAUUGAAUACCUAUUGGUGACCUGCUGCAGUCUAUGGUCAGGUUGUUGUCUCUUUGACACAUUCCCCAUUUCCAUUCUCAAUUUUAGAUAUACUUACUGGAUCCAGGGACUUUCUAUAGCUGUAGCUGUGAUGCUAUGGUUAAAGCUUAAAAUUUUCUACUUGGUAACAUCUUUGUACUUUUAGGCAAUAAAAGUUAUGGACAUGUUAUAGACAUUCCUAUGGGCACUUACUGCAACCCUUUAAUAUCAUACUUUGUUGCUGUAUUGUUAUGUUAAUUUUCAUUUAUAGUUAUUUGCUUGGUUUCUAAUUAAUACCUUCUAUAUUUAUUGGAUAUUAAACAAGACAACACCCAC